GUCUUUUUGAUUAUAAUUUAAGGUUUGACCUGCCCACUGAUAAUUUAAAUGGCCGCAGUAUUUUGACUGUGCAAAGGUAGCAUAAUCAUUAGUUUCUUAAUUAGAAGCUGGUAUGAAUGGUUGGACGAGAAAUUGACUGUCUCUGAUUAUACAUUAAAAUUUUAUUUUUAAGUUAAAAAGCUUAAAUAAUUUUAAAAGACGAGAAGACCCUAUAGAGUUUUAUAUUUAAUUUAAUUUGGAUUUUAGAAUUUUAUAUAUUAAAUUAAAUAUUUUAUUGGGGUGAUAUAUAAAUUUAAUAAACUUUAUAUAUUUUUAUACAUAGAUAAAUGAUUUUUUGAUCCAUUGUUUAUGAUUAAAAGAAAAAAUUACCUUAGGGAUAACAGCGUUAUUUUUUUUUAGAGUUCUAAUCGAAAAAAAAGUUUGCGACCUCGAUGUUGGAUUAAAGUUAAUAAUUGGUGUAGAAGCUAAUAAAUUAGGUCUGUUCGACCUUUAAAACUUUACAUGAUCUGAGUUUAAACCGGUGUGAGCCAGGUUGGUUUCUAUCUUUAAAUAUUUUAAAUAUUUUAGUACGAAAGGACCAAAUAUUUUUAAAAUUUAAUUUAUUUGAAUA
rnacentral:rRNA from 1 species